CAGGAGGCUGAGGCAGGAGAAUCACCUGAACCGGGGAGACGGAGGAGGUUGCAGUGAGCCAAGAUCGUGCCACUGCACCCCAGCCUGGGUGACAGAGGGAUACUCCAUCUCAAAAAAAAAAAAAAAAAGAAAGAAAAGAAAAAGAAUAUUAUUCAUCCAUAAAGAGAAAUACAGUUUUGAUACAUGCUAUAACGUGGAUGCACCUUGAAAAUAUUAUGCUAAGUGAAAUAAGCCAGAUGUUAAAAGGACACAUAUUAUAUAAUUUUAAUUAGAUAAAAUAUCUUGAAUAGGAAAAUUCAUAGAGACAGAAAUAGACUAGAGGUUGCCAUGGGGCUGGAAGAAGAGGGGAAUCAGAAGUUAUUGCUUAAUGGUGACAGAGUUUCUGUUUGGGUAAUGAGAAAGUUUUGCAGAUAGAUAGUGGUAAUGGUUGCACAACAUUGUUAAUGUAAUUAAUGCCCCUUUUUAAAUGUUUUAUAUAUUUUACCAUAGCAAAAUAAAUUACACUGACAAAACAAUAUGAACAGAUAUCUGUCUUAAGAAUAUUUGGUUUUUAAUAGAGAACUAUAUUUAUUUAAGUAACAUUUCUUAAAGGCCCUCUGUGGUCCAGACUCUGUGAAUGCUCUGGUGCACAAGACAAGAUUUCAGAGCUUAAAGAAUUUACAGUCCAGUAGAAAAGGCAGACCAGCCAACAUCAACCCUGAUAAAUCCAGGGAAAAAUGUAAACCUGGGAAGUUAGGCAGCACACAACAGGAGCACUUAAUUUAAAACAGAUUGGGUAAGGCUGUAAGAUGAAAAAGGGUCAAAGCAUUCCAAGAAAGAACAGCAAGUUGGCAAAAGCUGUCAAUGAGACAAACAUCGGGCAUUAGGGGGAAACUGUUAGUGGUUGAACAAGGUUGGAGCAGAAUUGGGGAGGGAGAGGCCAUUAUUGAGGGGAUAGUGAGGGAUGAGGUUAAAGAUACAAGCAAAAACCUGACUAAGCUACACUGAGGAGUCCUUCUCCCAGUCUACAGAGAUGCCAUUACAGGAUUUUAUGCAAGAUGGUAAUAUCAUUAAGGGCAGCUCUAUAAAGAAUGGAUUUAAGAGUGGUAAGACUAAAUAAAGGGAGUCAGGCAUUUCCAUGAGCUUGAGAGAAAAAUCUUUAGAAGAUAGAGGACCUAUCAAUAAUGCCCUAAAAUCACAAAAUGCUUGAUAAGUCCUGCGUUGGUAAUGCUUUGGGUAAACAGGCAUUCUCAUACACUGUUGAUGUAGGGCAAUUACCCUAUCAUCGUAAUGUGACAAUAUUUAUGGAAAUAUAUGUGCAUGCUUAGCAAUUUUUCAGGAAUUCAUCCUAGAGAUAGACAUGCUCUUGUAUAAAAUGAAAUACAUAUGAUGUAAUUUAUCACUGCACUGUUUGUAAACCUAAACUAUUGAAAAUAGUGUAAAUAUCCAUCAGUUGUAGCCCAAUCAAAUAAAUUAUGGUACAGCCAUAUACUGGAAUACCAUUUGACAAUUAAAAAUAAAUGAUAAAGCUCUUAUAUAAAGACAGAGAAUAACUGCCAAGAUUUUUUUUUUUUUUAAACAGGGUCUCAUUCUGUUACCCAGGCCGGAGUGCAGUGGCACAAUAACGGCUCAUUGCAGCCAUCAACUCCUGGGCUCAAGUGAUCCUCCCACCUCAGCCACCUGAGUAGCUGGGGACUACAGACAUGGGCCACCAUGCCCAGCUAAUUUUUUGUAUUUUCAGUAGAGAUGGGAUUUUGCCAUGUUGUCCAGGCUGGUCUCUAACUCCUGAGCUCAAGUGAUCCUCACCUUAACCUCCCACAGUGCUGGGAUUACAGGCCUGAGCCACUGAGUGAGGACUAAAUUUUUAAGCAAUAACAAAAACAAAAUAAUCUCACCCCAUCCCCCCAAAAAAGUGUAACAUAUGAUACUAUUUAUAUUAAGAGGAAGGGAGAGAUCUUAACUUUUUUUAAAAAAUGCUAUUGCCAAGAUAAAAUUUUAAACAAUAACAAUAAAAAAUAAACAAAGACCGGGCAUGGUGUCUCAAGCCUGUAAUCCCAGCACUCUGGCAGGCCAAGGCAGUAGGAUGGCUUGAGCCCAGGAAUUCAAGACCAGCCUGAGCAACUGCGGAAAUCCUGUCUCUACAGAAAAUACAAAAAUUAGUCAGGUGUGGGGUGCACAUCUAUAGUACCAGCUGCUCAAGAGGCUGGGAGAAUCGCUUCAGCCUGGGAGGUCUAGGUUGCAGUGAGCCGAGAUUGUGCCACUGCCCUCCAGCCUGGGUGACAGAUCAAGACCUUGUUUCAAAUAACAAAAAAGCAAGAAUUGAAUGUGUUACUUUUUGUGUAAAAACAAAAGAAAGAAAUUCUGUACUAAAGAAGAAAAAUGCAGCUGGGCAUGGUGGCUCAC
rnacentral:lncRNA from 10 species